AUCUCUGGCAUAGCUCAGUUGGUUAGAGCGUGGUGCUGAUAAUGCCAAGACUGCAGGUUUGAUUCCCAUAUGGGAUG